GUUAUGAGCUAUAUUAGUGAUAGGUAACAUUAUAACCCAGUUAAUACAAUACCUAUACUCAGUUGCUACUUAUACAACCUGUGUAUUGUAAUAUAAUAGAUCACAAGGAAAACUCACCGCAGUUCUACGUAUCCUUAAAUCAGAUACCAAACUGCGUAGCUUACAUCAGGUCUUUAGAAAAGUUUGUUUUUGAAAUAUUUCUAGAGGUUUAGCUGCAAAAAUUGAUGAUUACUUUACGUUCAACACCCUCAUCAGAGAAGGAAUCAUUGAAUCCAAACGGUUUUUGCCCCAGCUUUCCUUUCCCUCGUUUUAGUCGCCAUACCGACCCAUGAAGCCAAAUCUGCUGGCCAAGUUGGGUAACAAAUUAAAGCUCGUCGAAAAGCAUGGAUUUUCCAAAAUUGGUAGUUUCUAUAGCAUUUCAACAAAGUAAAUGCGUCGGAAAUGUUAGUAGAAGAUGAAGUUUCCAAAUUUUCCAUGGCAGCACGUUUGAAGGUUUUAUUGUAAUAUCACCCAUUGUAAAACAAGUUGAUUUUGCUUUUAAUAAGCAUUUUACAAUAGAAACGUUUGAACUUUGGGUGAUUCUGGUUUUAGCAUCAGUUCUUUUACUAUACUUCCAAAGUAUUAUUUUAUUUACCAUCUAUUGAUUUUCGCUACUCAAACACUAAGGACUAUUAUCAAGUAAUUCGCAUAUCUUUUAUAACUAACACUUUUUAUUUCCUUCCACUCAAAACAGCGUAACCCACGCGCUUGAUUGAAUUUACUCUGUACAUUGGGCAGUAGUUGAGGCAUCUGCAAUGUUCAUGUUCUGUAAUCUAAUUCUUACUCUUUAGGAGUAAAGUCCUAUUCAAUAAUUUUGUCUUAAUGAUUUACCAAAUUGUGCUUUCUACAAUUAGAGUAUGGAGAGAACAUUGUGUUUCUUAACAAUCUAUAAUAAUUUUUUUAUCGCUGGACUCUCGCUGCUUAUAAUAUCAAUAACGAAGUAUAACGCACUUCCUUAUUUCUACUAAAUACUUACACAAACCACCCGACA